GAUGAACGCUGGCGGCGUGCCUAACACAUGCAAGUCGAACGAAGCACAUACGACGGAACUCUUCGGAGGGAAGAUGUAUGUGACUGAGUGGCGGACGGGUGAGUAACGCGUGGGUAACCUGCCCUAUACAGGGGGACAACAGUUGGAAACGACUGCUAAUACCGCAUAAGCGCACAGUACCGCAUGGUACAGAGCGAAAAACUCCGGUGGUAUAGGAUGGGCCCGCGUCUGAUUAGUUAGUUGGCGGUGUAACGGACCACCAAGACGACGAUCAGUAGCCGGCUUGAGAGAGUGAACGGCCACAUUGGGACUGAGACACGGCCCAAACUCCUACGGGAGGCAGCAGUGGGGAAUAUUGCACAAUGGGGGAAACCCUGAUGCAGCAACGCCGCGUGAAGGAUGAAGGUUUUCGGAUCGUAAACUUCUAUCAAUAGGGACGAAGAAAGUGACGGUACCUAAAUAAGAAGCCCCGGCUAACUACGUG
rnacentral:rRNA from 1 species